AGUGCGCUUGUCCACAUCCCCUCUUCAAACAAGGACAUUGUAAUCCAGCAGUCAUGUUGUUUGCUCUCUCCAGAUUUUUGAUUAUUUUGUCCUGAGAAUAUCUGACAGCCACGAGAAGGUGAAGCAGAAGGUGCUGGACGUGCUGUCAGAAAUCACAGGCAUCCUGGAAGAUGCCUUGAGCCCGGUGAUCAUCCAUUUGGUUGAAGGAGUUACAAAGAACCUGAACUCAAAGGAUCCCGGGGUUCAUGCUGCAGCUGUGAAAGCACCGGAAGAAUCCAUUUCUCAUUUAGACAAGGCUGAGCCCUGACAUGGACUCUCCUCAGCUGUGUCUCUGCCUCUGCCACACAAGAGAUCACUGAGAGCCCUGAUAGCUCUUGUUGUCUGUGGAACACUGCAGCUGACAUCCACCAGAAGCUGUGGAGCUGCAGUCCCUACACACCAGUCCCCCAACAGGCUUGAAUGUGCAUCAGCAUUUCCCAAAGGUCCCAGGAGCCCUUGGCUCUGUGCUGCUUGUCUGAAGAGGAAGCCCUGGACUACAGCUUUGCUAGAAUUCAGAGCCAAGGGGGUUUUGGAGUUUGCUUGGGCCCCAUUUGACUCCCCAAAUGAAUAGCUUGGCUGUUGGCAUGAAGGGACACAGGCCCAUCAGAGCUUCUGCAGAGCAGCCUCCUGGAAGGCUCUACAUUAUAGGCAUUAGCUGCCCAUUUCCCACCUUUCUUCUUUGGCUUCUUUUUUCAAAGGAGAACUUUUGAUUCACCAAGUUCAUUUCCUUAUAACAAACAGGUAGAAAUCCAGCUGUCAAUGAUGCCUUGUUCCACAUGUUGUUUUGCAUGGGGCAAGAUGGCUGUAGCAAAUAGCUACCUAGGCAAGGGCUGCUGCAAAUUUCUUUGCCACACAGAUUGAUGUCAGCUCUGAAAAUGCCGCACUGGGGAAUGUGCCUGAGCAAUGAAGUGUUAAAAAGGCAGGUCUUCCAGGGGAGUUUCCACUUUCUCCACCUCAGCUGUUCUGUGAGCACAUGAACUGCCUGACUCAGUGCCUUUCUGUGUUCCAAGUUUGCUCUGGGAUGCAAACCCUUUUCACUGCUUACAUGUGAUUGAACUCUUGAGGUCCCUGGUGUGAAAUGUUUAAUGUAGCUCCUGGUACAGCAGACGACUUUGGAUCUACAAUUGUGCAAGGAGAUCUUUUCUUUUGGAAUUAAAAACCCUCCCAAGGAAGCUGGAAGGAAAGAAGAAAAGGAUUCAAGGAUCAGCAGAAAUUCACUUGAUUUUAUAAAAUGGGCUUGCCCCUGCCCUUUCCCACCCCACUGUCCUUUCACUUAGGACUUCUGAAGAGUGAGCAGAAACGUGUGUUUCUCUUGUAGAUAAAGUAUCACUGAUGAAAGAGUUUGGCCACCGAUGGAGUCAACUGAGUGGCCAAGCUCUGCUGGAUGUCACAGAGCGUAUCACAGUGCUUGUGGAAUGGGUUUAUCCCAGGAGCCCUGAAGUCGUCCAGCACUACGCCCUGCCCGUGCUCUGGUCCUUCCUGGGGAACAAGGCGCUGCCUGUGCGAAGUGCCAAUGUCUGCACUGUGGUCACCAAGCUUGCCUCUGCCCUCUACGAGGUGAUGGGCACCAAGCUGAGGAAGUGUGCUGCCAGCCAGCCUCCACAUGUGUGGGAAAACCUCUCCAGCAUCUUGGGCUGGUGAAGGCCUGAUGCUCUCCAGAAAGCUGGGGAAGAGCUGAGUUGGACACCUCUGGAUGUGACUUUUUUGCUGUUUCAAAAGCGAUGAAACACUGAGGAAGGGUUUGCAUCAGCCCCUUCUCUCUCCACUGCCCUUCCUAGUCAAGGCAUGGGGGGCCUGAAGCAACUUCUGAUUGAGGACAAGAUGAAGGCUGAGCAGGGCUCAGCCUCACAUACAGACCUGACAGGCUCUACUCUUACCAAGAAGUUUUGUCUGCAUACUUCCUAUGUGUCCUUACCCACAAAGUCCUGCCUCCCAUCCUGAAGAGCUCUCUUUCCACCGAGUCCAGGAAGAAGCUGCUGCCUCUCAAAAGAGUGAUUGAAGAAUAGGAUUUAUGUGUUAGGCUUUACUGUUACAUGUGUUCAUAUGUUAUGAUAUUUUGAUGUAGGUUUGAAUAAAUGUGCUUUGAUUGUA